rnacentral:tRNA from 1 species
GCAGGGCGCUUAGCUCAGUUGGUAGAGCGUCUGCCUUACAAGCAGAAGGUCGCGGGUUCGAGCCCCGUCCGCUGCGCCA